CCCCUAGAUGUUCUGGGCCGCACGCGCGCUUCACUGAACAGUUCAACAAGUCUUAACCUUGGCCGAUAGGUCUGGGUAAUCUUUGAACGCUGUUCGUGAUUGGGAUAGACCUUUGCAAUUAUGGGUCUUCAACGAGGAAUUCCUAGUAAACGCAAGUCAUCAGCUUGCAUUGAUUACGUCCCUGCCCUUUGUACACACCGCCCGUCGCACCUACCGAUUGAAUGGUCCGGUGAAAUCUCGGGACGGCGGCUUGGUCGCUUGCGUCCGACUGCUGAAACUUGAUUAAACCAUAUCAUUUAGAGGAAGGUGAANUCGUAACA
rnacentral:rRNA from 1 species